UAGGGAAUCUUCCACAAUGGACGCAAGUCUGAUGGAGCAACGCCGCGUGAGUGAAGAAGGUUUUCGGAUCGUAAAGCUCUGUUGUUGGUGAAGAAGGAUAGAGGCAGUAACUGGUCUUUAUUUGACGGUAAUCAACCAGAAAGUCACGGCUAACUACGUGCCAGCAGCCGCGGUAAUACGUAGGUGGCAAGCGUUGUCCGGAUUUAUUGGGCGUAAAGCGAGCGCAGGCGGAAUGAUAAGUCUGCUGUGAAAGCCCACGGCUCAACCGUGGAACUGCCUCGGAAAGUGUCUUUCUUGAGUGCAGAAGAGGAGAGGGGGAUUCCCUGUGUAGCGGUUGAAUCCGUAGAUGUAUGGAAGAACACCAGUGGCGAAGGCGGCUCUCUGGUCUGCAACUGACGCUGAGGAUCGAAAGCAUGGGUAGCGAACAGG
rnacentral:rRNA from 1 species